AGAGUUUGAUCCUGGCUCAGGGUGAACGCUGGCGGCGUGCCUAAGACAUGCAAGUCGAGCGGGGCAGGUUUAUACCUGUUCAGCGGCGGACGGGUGAGUAACGCGUGGGUGACCUACCCGGAAGAGGCGGACAACCUGGGGAAACCCAGGCUAAUCCGCCAUGUGAUCCUGUCCUGUGGGGUAGGACUAAAGGGGCGACCCGCUUCCGGAUGGGCCCGCGUCCCAUCAGCUAGUUGGUGGGGUAAAGGCCCACCAAGGCGACGACGGGUAGCCGGUCUGGGAGGAUGGCCGGCCACAGGGGCACUGAGACACGGGCCCCACUCCUACGGGAGGCGAC
rnacentral:rRNA from 1 species